rnacentral:rRNA from 1 species
UACGAAGGGGGCUAGCGUUGCUCGGAUUGACUGGGCGUAAAGGGCGCGUAGGCGGUUUGCACAGUUGGGCGUGAAAUUCCUGGGCUUAACCUGGGGGCUGCGUUCAAUACGUGUAGGCUUGAGUUCGGAAGAGGGUCGUGGAAUUCCCAGUGUAGAGGUGAAAUUCGUAGAUAUUGGGAAGAACACCGGUGGCGAAGGCGGCGACCUGGUCCGAUACUGACGCUGAGGAGCGAAAGCGUGGGGAGCGAACAGG